AUUAUAGCAAUAUUAUUAAAGAGGAGUGGCGAACGGGUGAGUAACACGUAGAUAAUCUGCCUUCAGACGGGGACAACUCAGGGAAACUUGUGCUAAUACCCGAUGAGACCACAAGAAGGGAUUUUUGUGGCCAAAGGCGGGCAGCAAUGCUCGUGCUGAAAGAUGAGUCUGCGUCCUAUCAGCUAGUUGGUGGGGUAAAUGCCUACCAAGGCUAAGACGGGUAGCCGGCCUGAGAGGGUGAACGGCCACACUGGGACUGAGACACGGCCCAGACUCCUACGGGAGGCAGCAGUGAGGAAUUUUCCGCAAUGGGCGCAAGCCUGACGGAGCGACGCCGCGUGAGGGAUGACAGCUUUCGGGUUGUAAACCUCUUUUAUUAAGGAAAAAGAUCUAUAUGCUAAUAUCAUGUAGAUUUGAUGGUACUUAUUGAAUAAGCCCCGGCUAACUACGUGCCAGCCGCUGC
rnacentral:rRNA from 1 species